UAGAAGUAGAACUAUUUCCAUACAUCAGGACUCGCCUCUGUUUUCCUCCAUUGACGAGUUUGUAUUUUUGGUCUUUUUACUACAUUUUAAUUUGUGAAAAUUUCCUUUUGGUUGUUUUGCUGUUUUCUGAAGUUGUGGAUAUCUGAACUUUCCUCUGGUUUGCAGAUUUGGGUUUAUGGGAACAGCUUUGAGUCGUUUCUUGUUGCUGUGGUGGUCCCUGACAGAAAGGCAUUGGAGGAUUGGGCAGCAGAGCAUCAUUUGACCGAAGGUUUUAAAUCAUUAUGUCAAAACCUGAAGGCAAGAAAGUACAUUUUGGAUGAGCUCAAUAGUGUUGGUCAGAAGCAGCAAGUAUGUAGAAAAUUGUCUCAACUCCCUGUUUCUUACUUGAUGCUCUGUUAAUGUCUACUCAAUCUGACUUGGGUGACCUUCCUCCAGCUACGAGGUUUUGAGCUGUUAAAAGCAGUCCACUUGGAACCAAAUCCCUUUGACAUGGAGAGGGAUCUUAUAACUCCAACAUUCAAACUGAAGAGAACACACCUACUUAAAUAUUACAAGGUAUGCCUUCUGCUCUCUCUUUCUAUAUGUUGUCUUAAAUCUCCUCACUGUAACUGUGCGACUUCCUUUUCAAGCACCUGGUAGACCUUCAGUUUGCCACUCACUUAAUAUCCUUUCCCCACCCUUGCGGCUGUGACCUUGGAUUAUUUCUUAAAAGAAAUGAAUUUCUAUUGCUAAUGAUCAAGUGCUAUGCCAUAAACGGGUCUCCCUCAUUCGAUAUAUAAAUCUCUCUCUCUCUCUCUCUCUCUCUCUCUCUCUCUCUCAAAUAGUAAAAGCUGACUUCGUCAAGUGAAUGUUAGUUUAUAUUUUUUGGAAUAUCAUCUGCAGGACCGCAUUGAUAAACUGUACAGUGAAGCAAAGGAAGCAAGGGUAUGACAGCAAUGUCGAAAGCCGGAAGCUACUGGAGAAAACCUUUUUACCACAAUUUCCCAAAGAUGUGAUUGCUGAUAGUGGGCAGGUGCUACCCACAAGGACUCUGGAUUCGGAUCCCUGUGAGUCCGUCUUAAGUUAGUUUGUGUAUAAAUAAAGAUAAUAUGAAAAGUUCUGGUUUGAGAAACCAUAUAUAUUGGUCCCAAUGUCAGUUAUUUGUGCUUGCAAGUGCACCCACAGAAUUGCUAUAUUCAUUCACUCUUUCAGAAUGAAUGUCAGAUAUCAUAUUUGACAAGAAAUGUUUUGCUUCCCAAACCAUUUUUAUGGAAGUUAAAGACGAUAAAGAAUUAAUGGCUACUUUACUUCUGAUCUCAUUGCUAAAGAAUUAAUGGCUGUUUCAGAAUGAAUGUCAGAUACCAAUUGCUUGUAUCUACAUUGCUAUAACCCCAAAAUCAAUGAUUAACUGAUUCUCAAUGGAUCUUGGUCUAUGCAAUGUAAAAUAAUCUUUGUGGAUUUCUUAGUUGUCUUUAUCACCAACAAAUCCACCCAAAAAGGAAAAUAAAAAGUUGCCAACAGGGUCUCAGGUGUGCGCGCAAAAACUUGGCUCUCCUUGUAGCUUAGAUUAUUGUUUGUAUUAAAAAAGAUUAUUGCUUGUAUUAAAAAAGAUUAUCGCUUGUUUAAAGUAGAAUUAAAGGACAACACUGAAACACACCAACUACUAUGCGUAUGAGCUUUUGUCGUUUUGGAUUUUUCAACUGCCCAUAAUUGGACUGGAAAAGACGUUUGAAGUUCAACGGAAGAACACUGGCCCUUCCUCUUUCUUUGUUUCCUUCCCUUUCCUUGUCUUCCCUUCACCUUCAUCGACUUCGCAGUGUUCUCCCAAAGGAGGUUGAAGCUCGCAGCUAACUUCCUCGCAGCUUCCCUCGCUCAUAAGAUGCUUUCUUAUUAAAAGAAAAGAAACCCAGAGGCCAUGCCCUUCCCAGCUCUUUGAUCAGCCUGUUUACUUUUCCGGCACCCAAUCAAACGUCAGUCAUUCAAUGACAUACGACGUCUUCCUGAGUUUCAGAGGCGAGGACACGCGAUUCAACUUUACUGAUCAUCUGCACAGUAAUUUGACUCGGAAGGGAAUUAGGACCUUCAUAGAUGAUGGUCUUAAGAGAGGGGAAGAAAUAUCACCGGCCCUUCUCAGAGCGAUCGAAGAGUCGAAGAUUUCCAUCAUCGUGUUCUCCGAAAACUAUGCAUCUUCGAAGUGGUGCUUGGAUGAACUCGUCAAGAUCCUUGAGAGUAAAGAAACAAGGGAGCAAAUAGUUUGGCCUGUUUUUUACAAGGUGAAUCCGUCGGAUGUACGGCAUCAAAGGGGCAGUUUCGGUCAGGCACUUGCUGACUAUGAAUGCGAGUUCAAAGAUGACAUGGAGAAGGUGCAAAGAUGGAGGAGAAGUCUUACGAAAGCAGCCAAUCUGUCCGGAUGGUGUUUCAUGAACGGGUAUAUAUUUAUUUUCAACCACGCACCUUAGCUGCUUAUUAGACUUGUUUAUUUCUGAUCUUUUAAUGGAAAUUGAAACUGUUAGAAUAGGAUCAGAUUGGCUUUUAAUACAAAGGCAUUGUUUUUAAUGUCAAAUGCUUUUGAACCUCCAAGGUUUAAAGAUGUGGCUUUUGUGUGUCCUUUGAACCUGAUCCUUAUACAUACAAACUGAUCCUUGUAGAGGAAAAGUUGAAUUAAUCUAUUUGUUGCCGCAUUUUUAGAUGACUAAAUAUUUCGGAUUUUGGUAAUUUUUUAUAAUAAACGGUUCAUGUGAUCCUUGAAUGAUGUCCUCGGUUCAUGUUAUCCGAACCUGUGAUCCAUUUUUGUAAAUAGUCAAAAGGGGAUUCCUUUUAGAAGGGAGUUGUACACACACAUAUAUAUAUAUACUAGCCUCCCUGCACGCGCUUCUGCGCCUGCGAGAGGCUUUUUUUAAAAAAAUUUAAAUUUAUUUUAGAAUUAAAAAAGAUAAUGGAUAGUUGUAUUCCAUAAAAAUAGGAUCCAUUAUCUGAAUUUUCUUUUAAUUUUAAUUUUUUUAAUAUGAAAAAUUGUGAAUUUACCAUAUUAUCCUCAUUUAAUUAAUAAUUUUAAUUCUUAAUGUUUGCAUUAACCAAGGGCAUUUUCUGGUAUUUUAAAUGUUUCACCAUUCUUUGCCUUUUGCUUUAUAUAUAUAGAUAUAUAUAUAUAUACAGAGAGCUUCCAUUGAGGGAUCCCUCAAAUAAGCUUAUUUGAGGGACACCCCUUGUAGGCCCCACUCCGGAUUGUAUUUCACUAAUCCAAACCGUCUAUUUUGUAGAUACUCAUUCAAAGAUCAUCUCUACAAAAAAUCACUUGAAUCCGAUAUCAUUUGACCACUCAAUUAAGUUAUUGAAAUUUUAGCAUUUUCUUGAAGCACCGUGUUCAUUGAUUUUGUAAGACACAAUUGGAUGUCGAAACGGUUUCCGAUUUGUCUAAUUUUUUGUAAGGAUGAUCUAUAAAUGAAGACCUAAAAAAUAAAUGGUUUGGAUCAUUGGGAAAAAAAUUGUAGGAUACCCUAAAGGGCGUCCCUCAAAUAAAAUUAUUUGAGGGAUCCCUCAAUAGAAGGGGACUGUAUAUAUAUAUAUAUACAUAGGCUCUUUUUUAAUCAUAAAUGGUCCCUGAGGUUUACGAAAUUAUCAUCUUUCGUCCCUAACCUUUUUUUGCGACACUAAUGAUCUUUAAGGUUACUCUCCGCACAUCAAAAUGGUCCCUACUGUUAGUUUUGGUCAAAUUUUCUGUUAAAUUGUUAAUGUGGCACAUGUGUGUAGCCCACACAUCCAAUGGUAUAGAGCCACGUAGUUUUAAAUGUAAUAUAAUAUAUUUUUAAUAUUUUUAAAACUUAAAAUUCAUAAAUAAAAAAAAUUAAAAGCAACUUAAAUCUUUUUAUAUAUGUUUAAAUAUAUUUCAUGCUCUGUUUUGAGAGAGAGAGAGAGAGAGAGAGAAGUGGGUAUGCGAGGAGGGGUAGGGAAAGUUAACACAAGGAGAGAGAGAGAGAAAGCGAAGGGAGGAAGAGGAGGGAGAGAGAAAUGGAUUUGCAAGGGGGAAAGGGAAAGAGAACACAAGGAGAGGGAGAGGGAGAGAGAGAAAGAUAUUUUAAAAUAUAUUAAAAAGAUGUACCAUUGGAUGUGAGGGUUCCACAUAUGUGCCACGUCAUCAAUUUAGUAGAAAAUUUGACGGAAGCUAACAGCAGGGACUAUUUUGAUGGGUGGAGGCUAAUCUUAAGGAUCAUUAGUGUAAAAAAAAUACAUUAGGAACGGAAUUUGAUAAUUUCGCAAACCUCAGGGACCAUUUGUGAUAAAAAGCAUAUAUAUAUAAUAUGACAAAAUUUUAUUCAUCAUUAAUCUUUCGCAUAUUGUAUAACCUUGCAGGCAUGAAUCAAAAUUUAUUGACAAUAUCGUUGAAGCGAUUUCAUUACAAGUAUUAAACCAUGCGUAUUUGAAUGUAGCAAAGUACCCAGUUGGAAUAGAGUCUCGUGUGCGCGAGAUAGAUAAGCUUUUGGGCGUUGGAGGAAACGAUGUUCGCAUGGUAGGGAUAUGGGGCACUGGUGGAAUAGGUAAGACCACAAUUGCUAAAGCUGUUUAUAAUUCCGUCGCCCAUAUGUUUGAAGGUAGCUGUUUUCUAGAUGAUGUUCGAGAAAGAUCAAUGCCGUAUGGAGGCUUAGGCAAACUACAAAGUAUUCUUCUUUCUGAGAUUCUAGGGGUGAAAGAAGUAGAGGUGACCAAUGUUGACAAAGGAAUCAAUAUGAUAAAGAAGAUGUUGAAUGGUAAGAAGCUUCUCUUAGUUCUUGACGAUGUGAAUCAUUUGGACCAAUUAAACAAAUUAGUUGGAGGGUCUGAUUGGUUUGGUUCAGGCAGCAGAAUUGUUCUAACGACAAGAGACAAGCAUUUGCUAAUUGCUCAUCAAGUCAAUCUAAUAUAUGAGGUUGAGAAGUUAAAUCAUUAUGAGUCCUUAAAGCUCUUCACCAGUUGGAAUUCAUUUUCAAGAAAUGGACACUUAAAAGAUGAUUAUGCGAAACUUGCAAACAAUGUAGUAGACUAUGCUGACGGUCUUCCAUUAGCUCUGAUGGUUUUGGGUUCACAUCUAUGUGGUAGAAGUAUUGAUCAAUGGAAAUAUGCAUUAGAUGGUUACAGAAGAGUUCCUAACCGAGAGAUUCAAGAAAUUCUCAAAAUAAGUUAUAAUGCACUAGAAGACGCGGUGAAGGAAGUUUUCCUUGAUAUUGCAUUUUUCUAUAAAGGUCUAGGCGAGGAUUAUGUGAUACAAAUGCUAGAAGGUUGUGACAUGAACCCUAAGUAUGAUCUUGAAGUACUCGUGGAAAAGGCUCUUAUAAAUAUUAUGGAAGAUGGCUGCAUUUGGAUGCAUGACUUGAUACAAGAAAUGGGUAAAGAAGUAGUUCGCCAAGAGUCACCAACUGAGCCCGGAAAACGUAGUAGGUUGUGGUUUCACGAGGAUGUUUACCAUGUUUUAACAGAAAACACAGUAAGUAGAAUAUAUAAUUUAAAACAUUUUAUUUUUAUUUCACAAAAAACUGGUCCUUUGCUAAUAGUAUUGCUUUAUCAUACUAGGGAACGGAUAAGAUCAAAGGUAUUAUGGUGAAGUUGCCUGCUGGGCUUGAGUCAGAUGAGGUAUGUUUGAAUGCUGAAAGCUUCUCAAAGAUGAAAAAUCUUCGACUUUUUAUAAAUCAUAAUGCGCGCUUGUCUGGAGAAGUUGAUUGUCUUCCCAAUGAGUUGAGGCUCCUUAUCUGGCCUGAAUAUCCGUCACAAUCUUUGCCAGCCAAUUUUAAUCCAAAGAAACUUGUUGGUCUUGCUUUGCCUCGCAGCUGCAUUUUACGACUGGAUUUGGAAUUCAAGGUAUUCAUUUUUUUCUCUUUCUUCUUAGCAUGUUAUAAGUUUCUUUAAAGCUUAUGAUGCGAUCUUCUCUCUUUUUCUCCCUGUUUUGUGGAACAGAGUUUGAAAUUUAUAAAUGUGGAGCACAGCAAAUUCCUAAGAAAAACCCCUGACUUCUCUGGAGUCCCAAACUUGGAGAAGUUGAAUCUAAACUUUUGUACAAGUUUAGUUGAGCUUCAUCCUUCUGCUGGAUUCCUUCAUAAGCUUGUUAACUUGAGUCUUACGGGAUGCCGUAGUCUUACUCUGUUUCCAAGAAUUGUCAACUUGAAAUCUCUGCUGGAGUUGAAUCUUGACGGUUGCAUAAGUCUUGAGAAUUUUCCUGAAAUUAAGGGGAAGAUGGAAUAUUUGAAACACCUGGAUCUAUCAGAGACUUCCAUCAAAGAAUUGCCUUCAUCGUCAAUUCGACAUUUCACUCGUCUCGAGAAUCUGUAUUUAACCAGAUGUGAAAACCUUACAAAUCUGCCAUGCAGCAUUUAUGAGUUGAAGCACCUAAAGACAAUUUCUGUCCUUAAAUGCUCAAAAUUGUUUUCAUUUCCUAAAAUGGCGAAGUCUGAAGAUUCAAGGAGUGCAGAAUCACUUGUGACUCUUCAAGGAGGCAAUUUAGCGUUUCCCAACCUAUCUAAAUUCUAUGGAUCCAAUCUUUCAGACAUUGCCGAUUUCCUUCUGACUCUUGAUUGCAUGACCACAUUAACUAGACUUGAUCUAUCAGGAAGCAAUUUUGUUAGUCUUCCCGUAUGCAUUAAUAACUUUGUCAACUUGAUUGAUCUUCGGUUGGUUAGUUGCAAGAGACUUAGAGAAAUUCCAGAUCUUCCACAAGCAUUGCAACUUUUGGAUGUGAGUGAUUGCUUAUCAUUGGAAAGAGUUUCAAAAUUGUCCAACCUUUUGGAACGUAAAGAGUCUCAAAUGUUCUUGGGAAUGAGAUUGGCUAACUGUUGGAGACUGCGUAACAAUCUAGUUCGAAUUGCAAAGAAGAAAAAUAUGUUCAUAAAUCAAGUCAAUCUCUUCUCUCUCUUUCUCUCAUCUCUCCCAACUUUUGUCCAGGUUGAAUUUCCAGGAAGGGGAAUUCCAAAGUGGUUCAGUUAUCGUAAGGAUUUGAAGGAUCUUUGCGAAUGUCAAUUCUCUAUUAAAAUCCCUCAAAAUUUCAAUUGGGAGAACAAAGGAAUUUCUUUUUGUGCUUUUCUCGAAAAGACCAAAAAUAGGUUAAAUUUUUAUGCUCAACUCAGCAUCAGGGACUUUGCUGUUGAUAUGUAUGUGAAGGAAGUAUGCCCUGAUAAUAUUCAAUCAACAGGGAAAGACCUGAGUUUAGUGUGGCUGUCAUAUGUCCCUUUCCAUGAUAUGAUGUCGACAAUGGCACGCACGGAAAGAAAUGUGAAAAGAACAAGGGUGAUGCCGCCUUAUUUGCCUACAAUCCGAGUUCAUUUUGUGCGUAUUAGCAAAGCUGUGAAAAGCUGCGGAGUCCACCUAGUAAUGCCACCAGGAUGAAGACCUCAGUAUAGAGGCAUGGGUAUGUCCAGGAAGAUACCAAUCGAUCAAUCCUCCAAAGGGAAAGGACAGUAGCAUUCAAAUGUGAUUGGGAUGAUAAGGAUUUGCAUCCUUCUUACAAGCUGUCAAUCUCAAGCCCGUGGGUAGAAUUCAGUGAUCUAUAUUUGUGAUUGUUGUGUUAAUUCCACAUGAUUAGUUUCUUAAGACUUCAAUUGAGUUUUGAGUGGUGGAUGUUGGAAUGGUUGAGUCUUGCUGUAUGCAAGAUAAGAUAAGAGGAGAGGAGACUGGUUUGCACCCUUUUGUUUCAGAGUAGAUGAUGUCCACUUGGAUAUACCGUAUAAAGUUAUACUUCCAGAGCACUAUUGUUUACAGCUUAGCAAUUGUGCCACAUGGAACUCCGAGUUUGUGAUCCCUUAGUGUUCUGGUGCUGCUAUUCCUGGUGGCUUACAUGGUCUUGCUUUUCUCUUCGUGCAGCUGCUCCAAUGGUUUCCUGGCUGUCUUUACUUUUUGCUGUUUGGUUUUGUAAAUGAUUUGUUACUGGUGUGGUGAUUCUACUGUCCUUCCUUCAGUUUGGGGUUGCUAGUAUUGCAGUCCCUAUGGGUUGGUCUCCCCUUGGUGCGCCACUGUUUUUGGCUAGUUGCUCUUCACAGUUCCUGUCUUUCGACCUGCUUUUAUGGUUAGUGCUGCCUUGCUGUAUUAUUAAAGUGUGUUGCUGGCCGUAGACUUUGUUCUUCCUGCAGCUGCGUUGUGUCUUUUUACAGCAGAACAGAUUGCUGUUUGGCUCAGCCUUAUUUUCUCCUUGGUGUUGCUGCAUUAGUUCUCCUAUUUGUUGUUGGUUAGGGCUUUGCAUGUUGCCUCAUGUUGGGGAGAGAAAGAAGGAAAUUAAUGAAGCUGUUGUUCCAGAAGAAAUUGAAAGCUCGUCCUUCAUUCGAUGUAGAUACUAAUGGACUUAAAGAAAGGCGGUGCAGUCAUCAACCCCAACAAUGCUGUCCAAGUUCAAGAGUUGUUUUCGCAACUACUGCUGUUGGUAUUACUUGCUGUUGUUGCAUGUGUUGUGCGUUAUAUGCGUUACGGGGUUAAUAAUUUACUUUAAUUUGAGUGUCACAUUUUUGUUGUGAAGGCAUGUAGACUGAAAACUAGAAUGUUUGUUUGGAUCCUGAGUAAAUGGACAAAAACUUUCCCGGAAAAUUUGGCAUAUUUAUAUUGGAUAUGAUGUAGAAACAAAUUGCAUUUUGUCUUGUUUUAAAUUUUCUCACUUUGAUGCUCGGGAGAAAAAGAGAAGGUAGAACCAAAAGGAGGUAAUUGUGUUUAAGCUUGAGCUUGACAGUUUGUUCUGGGAUAAAAAUUAACCAAAAAAGAAGAGAAUGGCCCAUGCAGGUCUCGAACCUGCGACCUUCGCGUUAUUAGCACGACGCUCUAACCAGCUGAGCUAAUAGGCCAUUUGACAAAUUCCCCGUACUUUUUAAUACUAUACUAAAAUAGGAUCGAAAAGAAAGGUUUUCCUGGUUGUGGUCAGCCAAAAGAAAGGUUAGAGAAGCUGAAGCAGAAAACAAAGAAAAAGACGCUUGUUUUUCUACCAAUCCACGCUCUGCAACUCGUCGAAUAGCUCAAACCCUGUUCUUAGUUUUCUAAAAAGCUUAAAAUCACUGGAAAAUUGCAAUCAAUUCAAAACAUAUUGUAAUUCAAAUUCCAAGCGUGAGUUCAUGGCUGAAACUCUGCUUCUACUGGCAGCGACUCUGCGAAAAGUUAUCCGAACAAUCCAAUGCUUGGUCGGCGUCAAGUCACGGAAACAAAGGUACCUUCUUUUUGAGCAACAGCACAAACCCAUUGAAACCCAUAAGCUCUUUUUUUUUUCUUUCCAAAUAAGUUUAUGAAAUGCCAAUUUUGAAUUUGUUUAAUGGAAAUUGCAGGUGGGUCCCUAUGUAUGGCUUACAUAUCAAGAGGUUCAUGAUGCCGCCCUUCGAAUGGGUUCAGCCAUCAGGAGCCGCGGUGUCAAUCCUGUAAGUCACGUGCCUAUUGAGAAUAUAUGUGUGUGUAUGAAUGCAUAAAUUAAUGUGUUACUGUAAUUUGUAUUAAAUUUUGACGUGCAAUCUGUUAUGUUCUGGAUGAAGAAAUGAAAAAGAUUCAUAAUUGUAAUGUGAUGUUCUUUAGAGUUGAUGUAAGUUGGUAAUGAAAAGGAGUAACUGCGAAAGGUUGGUGUUUAUCAUAGCAAAAGGGAAAAAAAAGAAAGAAAAAAAGAAAGAAACUAACUUUGGUGUUUCAUAUUUUUGUAUCUUUUAAAUGUAUACAGGGAGAUCGUUGUGGUAUAUUCGGAUCAAACUGCCCCCAGUGGCUUACUGCAAUGGAGGUAAAUACUGUGUUUCCUAUUUUCAUGAAUCACGAUUGGCUUCAUAUUUAUGCAUGCCGUGCUUACUUGAAUGGAAAAGUUUGUUUAUGUUGGGAGCAAAUUUUUGACAGGUUGAAUAACUAUAAUGAAUCUAUGUUUUGUUGAUUUUUUACAGGCCUGUAAUAGCCAUACCAUAACGUAUGUUCCGCUGUAUGACACCCUUGGUAUGAUUUCUUUCUCUUUGUCAAUGAUCGUCAGUACUUAUAUCACCAUGAGUUUUAGAGUUUCUAUACAUUUUCUUCCUCAAUAGAAUUUCCAGUAGCAAUUGGACUUCAAUGAUGGUGGUUGAGUUCGAUUCAAUGUAUCUCAUUAACUUUUUGUGGUUUUACAUAUAAUGGUGGUUGAGCUUGCUAAACUCUUUGACGUGUAGGCUUCACUGAAAGCUGUGGUGGAUGUCUUACAUCUAUUGGCAAUGUUUUUCCUAUGAUGGGAACUGUGGGUGUUCCCAUGACAACUAUUGAAACAAGGCUUGAGUCAGUGCCAGAAAUGGGAUAUGAUGCACUUUCCAGUGUGCCAGGUGGAGAGAUUUGCCUGAGAGGAAAAUCCUUGUUUUCUGGUUACCACAAGCGACAAGAUCUGACAGAGGAAGUCCUUGUUGAUGGGGUGGUUUCAUACUGGUAAAAAUUCUUACAAUAGUCAGCCAUAAAGUUGUAUGGAAUACUUUACUUGCUUGAUGCUCAAACUUUUGGCUUUUCAAGAUGUCACCACCGUGCAUGUUAGAAUGUUUUGUUGAUGGUUAAUUGUUGCAUUAAAAGGUGGUAUUUCUUGACUUUGAGUGGAUUGCCGGUGACAUUGGAGAAUUGCAGCCUAUUGGAGCAACGGAAAUCAUAGAUAGGACAAAGAAUAUAUUUAAACUGUCUCAAGGUGAUUAUGUUGCUGUGGAAAACAUUGAAAGCAAAUACCUGCGAUGCCCUCUUAUCACAUCGGUACAUUGCUACUUACUUACUACAUCCAAUACAAGUAGAACAAUUUCCAUACAUUAGGACUCACCUCUGUUUUCCUCCAUUGAUGAGUUUGUAUUUUUUGUCUUUGUACUACAUUUUAAUUUGUGAAAAUUUUGUAUUGUUUGUUCUCUCUUUUUUUAUUUAUUUUUCUUUUCUAAAGUUCUGGAUGUCUUACUUUCCUCUGGUUGGCAGAUUUGGGUUUAUGGGAACAGCUUUGAGUCGUUUCUUGUUGCUGUGGUGGUCCCUGACAGAAAGGCAUUGGAGGAUUGGGCAGCGGAGCAUAAUUUGACCGAUGAUUUCAAAUCAUUAUGUCAAAACCUGAAGGCAAGAAAGUACAUUUUGGAUGAGCUCAAUUAGUGUUGGUCAGAAGCAGCAAGUACGUAAAUAAUUGUCUCAACUCCCUGUUUAAUGCUUUGUUAAUGUCUACUUAAUGCUUUGUUAAGUUCACUUGGAACCAAAUCCCUUUGACAUGGAGAGGGAUCUCAUAACUCCAACAUUCAAACAGAAGAGACCACAGCUACUUAAACAUUACAAGGUAGGCCUCCUGCUCUCUCUUUCUAGUAUUUUCUUAUAGCUCCUCACUGUAACUCUGUGCUUUCCUUUUUCAAGCACCUGGUAAGUCUUCAGUUUGCCACUCACUAAAUACCCUGCCUCCACCUGAUCAAUAUCCCACGACCGAUGACACCUAAAAGUAUGUACUUUAUAAGGGUCAACAUAGUAACCAAACACAGCCCCAUACGGCUAUACCCUUGAAUUAUUUCUUAAAUAGCAAGAAUCUCUCUCUCUCUCUCUCUCUCUCUCUCUCUCUCUCUCUCUCUCUCUCUCUCUCUCUCUCUCUCUCUCUCUCUUAAAUAGUAAAAGCUGAAGUUUGUCAAGUGUGUUAAUUUUAUAUUUGUCGGAAUAUCAUCUGCAGGACCGCAUUGAUAAACUGUACAGUGAAGCAAAGGAAGCAAGGGCAUGACAGCAAUAUCAAAAGCCGGAAGCUACCGGAUAAGACCUUUUUACCACAAUUCCCCAAAGAUGUGAUUGCUGAUAGCAGGCAGGUGCUACCCACAAAGACACUGGAUUUGGAUCCCUGUGAGUCCGUCUAAGUUAGUUUGUGUAUAAAAUAAAGAUAAUAUGAAAGUUCUGGUUUGAAAAACCAUAUAUAUAUAUAUAUUGCCCCAAUUUCAGUUAUUUGUGCUUGCAAAUACACACAGAAAUGCUAUAUUCAUUCACUCUUUCAGUAUAAAUGUCAGAUACAUGACAAGAAAUGCUUGCUUACCAAACCAUGUGUAUGGAAGUUAAAGACGAUAAAGAAUUAAUGGCUACUUCUGAUCUCUCAAGUACCAAUUGCAUCUACAUUGCUAUAGCCCCAAAACCAAUGAUAACUGAUUCUCAAUAGAUCUUGGUUUAUGCAAUGUAAAAUAAUCAAUGACAACCAACAAUUAGGAGCCUAUUCCUCUUCUUCUUUCACCCGUUCAUGGACAUAUGAUGUCUUCCCAAGCUUUAGUGAUGAGGAUACCCGUCCAAUUUCGAAGACGAUUUCUAACACAUCACAGAAACACGAACAGAUGAACGUCUAGAUCCAAGAACAUAUUCCGGAAUACGAUUGAAAGAGAGAAAAUCCAUCAAUCUCAAAGACCAUUUGUGACGCAGUACAACAAUUUGGUUUAGAAUGAAAUUAAAGCAUAGAUAACGAGUUAAUAAAUUCCUUGAUCAAGCUCCUCUGUUAUUUCACUACAUGAUACUGUCUUUGUUUGGUCAAAAGCACUUACUCACUGUUCAUCAGAAAAGAAAAUUUAUUAUGUAGGAUGAACCUGUGUCGUUUUGGACAUUUCCACUACCCAGCAAGUCAACUUGUUCUUUUGUUUCUUUCUUCCCAUCAUUGUCUUCCCUUCUUUGACUUCGCAGUGUUCUCACUAAAGAGGUUGAAGCUCGCAGCAAAUUUCCUCGCUUCCCUCGCUCAAAAAACACACCAAACUAAUCAAUUAUUGCUCCCAUAAUUCGACUGAAAAGACGUUUGAAGUUCCAACGUAAGCACACUGUCCUUUCCCUUUUUUUCUUGGAUUCUUUAUUCCUUUCUUCGCAGUGUUCUUCUCACUAAGGAGGUUGAAGUUUCAGCAAACUUUCUCGCAGCUUCCCUCGCUCAUAAGAUGCUUUUCUUCCUAAAAGAAAAGAAAACCAGAGGCGAUGCCCUUCCCAGCUCUUUGAUCAGCCUGUUUACUUCUCCGGCACGCAUUCAAACGACAGUCAUUCAAUGACAUACGACGUCUUCCUGAGUUUCAGAGGCGAGGACACGCGAUUCAACUUUACUGAUCAUCUGUACAGUAAUUUGACUCGGAAGGGAAUUAGAACCUUCAUAGAUGAUGGUCUUAAGAGAGGGGAAGAAAUAUCACGGGCCCUUCUCAGAGCGAUCGAAGAGUCGAAGACUUCCAUCAUCGUGUUCUCCGAAAACUACGCAUCUUCGAAGUGGUGCUUGGAUGAACUCGUCAAGAUCCUUGAGAGUAAAGAAACAAGGGAGCAAAUGGUUUGGCCUGUUUUUUACAAGGUGAAUCCGUCGGAUGUACGGCAUCAAAGGGGCAGUUUUGGUCAGGCACUUGCUGACUAUGAAUGCGAAUUCAAAGAUGACAUGGAGAAGGUGCAAAGAUGGAGGAGAAGUCUUACGAAAGCAGCCAAUCUGUCCGGAUGGUGUUUCAUCAACGGGUAUAUAUUUAUUUUCAACCACGCACCUUAGCUGCUUACUAAACUUGUUUAUUUCUGAUCUUAUAAUAGAAAUUGAAACUGUUAGAAUAGGAUCAGAUUGGCUUUUAAUACAAAGGCAUUGUUUUUAAUGUCAAAUGCUUUUGAACAUCCAAGGUUUAAAGAUGUGGCUUUUGUGUGUCCUUUGAACCUGAUCCUUAUACACACAAAUUGUCUAGUUUUUCGAUCCCCAAAUUAAGAAUUAUCCCUUCAAAAAAUUAGCAAAAUCCGAAAUCGUACCAUUUGAUUAUCACCAUGAACAUCUUGUGGAGGAAAAGUUGAAUUAAUCUAUUUGUUGCCGCAUUUUUAGAUGACUAAAUAUUUUGGAUUUUGGCAUUUUUUUGAUGAACUGAUUUUGGUAAGUUUUUAUAAGAGUGAUCCUUGAAUAAUGUCCUUAAAAAUAAACGGUUCAUGUUAUCCGAACCUGUGAUCCAUUUUUGUAAAUAGUCAAAAGGGGAUUCCUUUUAGAAGGGAGUUGUGCACACAUGCACGCACGCGCACACACGCACGCACGCGCACACACACACACACACAUAUAUAUAGGCUUUUUUUAAAAUCAUAAAUGGUCCCUGAGGUUUACGAAAUUAUCACCUUUCGUCCCUAACGUUUUUUUGUGACACUAAUGGUCUUUAAGGUUACCCUCCACACAUCAAAAUGGUCCCUACCAUUAGCUUCCGUCAAAUUUUCUGUUAAAUUGUUAAUGUGGCACAUGUGUGGAGCCCACACAUCCAAUGGUAUAGAGCUACGUAGUUUUAAAUGUAAUAUAAUAUAUUUUCAAUAUUUUUAAAACUUAAAAUUCAUAAAUUAAAAAAAAUAAAAGCAACUUAAAUCUUUUUAUACAUUUUUAAAUAUAUUUCAUGCUCUGUUUUGAGAGAGAGAGAGAGAGGUGGGUAUGCCAGGAGGGGGAGGGAAAGUUAACACAGGGAGGGGGAGAGAGAAAGUGAAGGGAGGAAGAGGAGGGAGAGAGGAGUGGGUUUGCAAGGGGGAAAGGGAAAAAGAACACAAGGAGAGGGAGAGAGAGAAAGAUAUUUAAAAAUAUAUUAAAAAGAUGUACCAUUGGAUGUGUGGGUUCCACAUAUGUAUCACGUCAUCAAUUUAACAGAAAAUUUGACGGAAGCUAACGACAGGGACCAUUUUGAAGGGUGGAGGCUAACCUUAAGGACCAUUAGUGUAAAAAGAAUGUUAGGGACGAAAGACCAUUUAUGAUAAAAAGCGCACACACACACACAUAUAUAUAUAUAUAUAAUAUUAAAAAAUGUUAUUCAUCAUUAAUCUUUCGCAUAUUGUAUACCCUUGCAGGCAUGAAUCAAAAUUUAUUGACAACAUCGUUGAAGCGAUUUCAUUACAAGUAUUAAACCAUGCGUAUUUGAAUGUAGCAAAGUACCCAGUUGGAAUAGAGUCUCGUGUGCGCGAGAUAGAUAAGCUUUUGGGCGUUGGAGGAAACGAUGUUCGCAUGGUAGGGAUAUGGGGCACUGGUGGAAUAGGUAAGACCACAAUUGCUAAAGCUGUUUAUAAUUCCAUCGCCCAUAUGUUUGAAGGUAGCUGUUUUCUAGAUGAUGUUCGAGAAAGAUCAAUGCCGUAUGGAGGCUUAGGCAAACUACAAAGUAUUCUUCUUUCUGAGAUUCUAGGGGUGAAAGAAGUAGAGGUGACCAAUGUUGACAAAGGAAUCAAUAUGAUAAAGAAGAUGUUGAAUGGUAAGAAGCUUCUCUUAGUUCUUGACGAUGUGAAUCAUUUGGACCAAUUAAACAAAUUAGUUGGAGGGUCUGAUUGGUUUGGUUCAGGCAGCAGAAUUGUUCUAACGACAAGAGACAAGCAUUUGCUAAUUGCUCAUCAAGUCAAUCUAAUAUAUGAGGUUGAGAAGUUAAAUCAUUAUGAGUCCUUAAAGCUCUUCACCAGUUGGAAUUCAUUUUCAAGAAAUGGACACUUAAAAGAUGAUUAUGCGAAACUUGCAAACAAUGUAGUAGACUAUGCUGACGGUCUUCCAUUAGCUCUGAUGGUUUUGGGUUCACAUCUAUGUGGUAGAAGUAUUGAUCAAUGGAAAUAUGCAUUAGAUGGUUACAGAAGAGUUCCUAACCGAGAGAUUCAAGAAAUUCUCAAAAUAAGUUAUAAUGCACUAGAAGACGCGGUGAAGGAAGUUUUCCUUGAUAUUGCAUUUUUCUAUAAAGGUCUAGGCGAGGAUUAUGUGAUACAAAUGCUAGAAGGUUGUGACAUGAACCCUAAGUAUGAUCUUGAAGUACUCGUGGAAAAGGCUCUUAUAAAUAUUAUGGAAGAUGGCUGCAUUUGGAUGCAUGACUUGAUACAAGAAAUGGGUAAAGAAGUAGUUCGCCAAGAGUCACCAACUGAGCCCGGAAAACGUAGUAGGUUGUGGUUUCACGAGGAUGUUUACCAUGUUUUAACAGAAAACACAGUAAGUAGAAUAUAUAAUUUAAAACAUUUUAUUUUUAUUUCACAAAAAACUGGUCCUUUGCUAAUAGUAUUGCUUUAUCAUACUAGGGAACGGAUAAGAUCAAAGGUAUUAUGGUGAAGUUGCCUGCUGGGCUUGAGUCAGAUGAGGUAUGUUUGAAUGCUGAAAGCUUCUCAAAGAUGAAAAAUCUUCGACUUUUUAUAAAUCAUAAUGCGCGCUUGUCUGGAGAAGUUGAUUGUCUUCCCAAUGAGUUGAGGCUCCUUAUCUGGCCUGAAUAUCCGUCACAAUCUUUGCCAGCCAAUUUUAAUCCAAAGAAACUUGUUGGUCUUGCUUUGCCUCGCAGCUGCAUUUUACGACUGGAUUUGGAAUUCAAGGUAUUCAUUUUUUUCUCUUUCUUCUUAGCAUGUUAUAAGUUUCUUUAAAGCUUAUGAUGCGAUCUUCUCUCUUUUUCUCCCUGUUUUGUGGAACAGAGUUUGAAAUUUAUAAAUGUGGAGCACAGCAAAUUCCUAAGAAAAACCCCUGACUUCUCUGGAGUCCCAAACUUGGAGAAGUUGAAUCUAAACUUUUGUACAAGUUUAGUUGAGCUUCAUCCUUCUGCUGGAUUCCUUCAUAAGCUUGUUAACUUGAGUCUUACGGGAUGCCGUAGUCUUACUCUGUUUCCAAGAAUUGUCAACUUGAAAUCUCUGCUGGAGUUGAAUCUUGACGGUUGCAUAAGUCUUGAGAAUUUUCCUGAAAUUAAGGGGAAGAUGGAAUAUUUGAAACACCUGGAUCUAUCAGAGACUUCCAUCAAAGAAUUGCCUUCAUCGUCAAUUCGACAUUUCACUCGUCUCGAGAAUCUGUAUUUAACCAGAUGUGAAAACCUUACAAAUCUGCCAUGCAGCAUUUAUGAGUUGAAGCACCUAAAGACAAUUUCUGUCCUUAAAUGCUCAAAAUUGUUUUCAUUUCCUAAAAUGGCGAAGUCUGAAGAUUCAAGGAGUGCAGAAUCACUUGUGACUCUUCAAGGAGGCAAUUUAGCGUUUCCCAACCUAUCUAAAUUCUAUGGAUCCAAUCUUUCAGACAUUGCCGAUUUCCUUCUGACUCUUGAUUGCAUGACCACAUUAACUAGACUUGAUCUAUCAGGAAGCAAUUUUGUUAGUCUUCCCGUAUGCAUUAAUAACUUUGUCAACUUGAUUGAUCUUCGGUUGGUUAGUUGCAAGAGACUUAGAGAAAUUCCAGAUCUUCCACAAGCAUUGCAACUUUUGGAUGUGAGUGAUUGCUUAUCAUUGGAAAGAGUUUCAAAAUUGUCCAACCUUUUGGAACGUAAAGAGUCUCAAAUGUUCUUGGGAAUGAGAUUGGCUAACUGUUGGAGACUGCGUAACAAUCUAGUUCGAAUUGCAAAGAAGAAAAAUAUGUUCAUAAAUCAAGUCAAUCUCUUCUCUCUCUUUCUCUCAUCUCUCCCAACUUUUGUCCAGGUUGAAUUUCCAGGAAGGGGAAUUCCAAAGUGGUUCAGUUAUCGUAAGGAUUUGAAGGAUCUUUGCGAAUGUCAAUUCUCUAUUAAAAUCCCUCAAAAUUUCAAUUGGGAGAACAAAGGAAUUUCUUUUUGUGCUUUUCUCGAAAAGACCAAAAAUAGGUUAAAUUUUUAUGCUCAACUCAGCAUCAGGGACUUUGCUGUUGAUAUGUAUGUGAAGGAAGUAUGCCCUGAUAAUAUUCAAUCAACAGGGAAAGACCUGAGUUUAGUGUGGCUGUCAUAUGUCCCUUUCCAUGAUAUGAUGUCGACAAUGGCACGCACGGAAAGAAAUGUGAAAAGAACAAGGGUGAUGCCGCCUUAUUUGCCUACAAUCCGAGUUCAUUUUGUGCGUAUUAGCAAAGCUGUGAAAAGCUGCGGAGUCCACCUAGUAAUGCCACCAGGAUGAAGACCUCAGUAUAGAGGCAUGGGUAUGUCCAGGAAGAUACCAAUCGAUCAAUCCUCCAAAGGGAAAGGACAGUAGCAUUCAAAUGUGAUUGGGAUGAUAAGGAUUUGCAUCCUUCUUACAAGCUGUCAAUCUCAAGCCCGUGGGUAGAAUUCAGUGAUCUAUAUUUGUGAUUGUUGUGUUAAUUCCACAUGAUUAGUUUCUUAAGACUUCAAUUGAGUUUUGAGUGGUGGAUGUUGGAAUGGUUGAGUCUUGCUGUAUGCAAGAUAAGAUAAGAGGAGAGGAGACUGGUUUGCACCCUUUUGUUUCAGAGUAGAUGAUGUCCACUUGGAUAUACCGUAUAAAGUUAUACUUCCAGAGCACUAUUGUUUACAGCUUAGCAAUUGUGCCACAUGGAACUCCGAGUUUGUGAUCCCUUAGUGUUCUGGUGCUGCUAUUCCUGGUGGCUUACAUGGUCUUGCUUUUCUCUUCGUGCAGCUGCUCCAAUGGUUUCCUGGCUGUCUUUACUUUUUGCUGUUUGGUUUUGUAAAUGAUUUGUUACUGGUGUGGUGAUUCUACUGUCCUUCCUUCAGUUUGGGGUUGCUAGUAUUGCAGUCCCUAUGGGUUGGUCUCCCCUUGGUGCGCCACUGUUUUUGGCUAGUUGCUCUUCACAGUUCCUGUCUUUCGACCUGCUUUUAUGGUUAGUGCUGCCUUGCUGUAUUAUUAAAGUGUGUUGCUGGCCGUAGACUUUGUUCUUCCUGCAGCUGCGUUGUGUCUUUUUACAGCAGAACAGAUUGCUGUUUGGCUCAGCCUUAUUUUCUCCUUGGUGUUGCUGCAUUAGUUCUCCUAUUUGUUGUUGGUUAGGGCUUUGCAUGUUGCCUCAUGUUGGGGAGAGAAAGAAGGAAAUUAAUGAAGCUGUUGUUCCAGAAGAAAUUGAAAGCUCGUCCUUCAUUCGAUGUAGAUACUAAUGGACUUAAAGAAAGGCGGUGCAGUCAUCAACCCCAACAAUGCUGUCCAAGUUCAAGAGUUGUUUUCGCAACUACUGCUGUUGGUAUUACUUGCUGUUGUUGCAUGUGUUGUGCGUUAUAUGCGUUACGGGGUUAAUAAUUUACUUUAAUUUGAGUGUCACAUUUUUGUUGUGAAGGCAUGUAGACUGAAAACUAGAAUGUUUGUUUGGAUCCUGAGUAAAUGGACAAAAACUUUCCCGGAAAAUUUGGCAUAUUUAUAUUGGAUAUGAUGUAGAAACAAAUUGCAUUUUGUCUUGUUUUAAAUUUUCUCACUUUGAUGCUCGGGAGAAAAAGAGAAGGUAGAACCAAAAGGAGGUAAUUGUGUUUAAGCUUGAGCUUGACAGUUUGUUCUGGGAUAAAAAUUAACCAAAAAAGAAGAGAAUGGCCCAUGCAGGUCUCGAACCUGCGACCUUCGCGUUAUUAGCACGACGCUCUAACCAGCUGAGCUAAUAGGCCAUUUGACAAAUUCCCCGUACUUUUUAAUACUAUACUAAAAUAGGAUCGAAAAGAAAGGUUUUCCUGGUUGUGGUCAGCCAAAAGAAAGGUUAGAGAAGCUGAAGCAGAAAACAAAGAAAAAGACGCUUGUUUUUCUACCAAUCCACGCUCUGCAACUCGUCGAAUAGCUAAAACCCUGUUCUUAGUUUUCUAAAAAGCUUAAAAUCACUGGAAAAUUGCAAUCAAUUCAAAACAUAUUGUAAUUCAAAUUCCAAGCGUGAGUUCAUGGCUGAAACUCUGCUUCUACUGGCAGCGACUCUGCGAAAAGUUAUCCGAACAAUCCAAUGCUUGGUCGGCGUCAAGUCACGGAAACAAAGGUACCUUCUUUUUGAGCAACAGCACAAACCCAUUGAAACCCAUAAGCUCUUUUUUUUUUCUUUCCAAAUAAGUUUAUGAAAUGCCAAUUUUGAAUUUGUUUAAUGGAAAUUGCAGGUGGGUCCCUAUGUAUGGCUUACAUAUCAAGAGGUUCAUGAUGCCGCCCUUCGAAUGGGUUCAGCCAUCAGGAGCCGCGGUGUCAAUCCUGUAAGUCACGUGCCUAUUGAGAAUAUAUGUGUGUGUAUGAAUGCAUAAAUUAAUGUGUUACUGUAAUUUGUAUUAAAUUUUGACGUGCAAUCUGUUAUGUUCUGGAUGAAGAAAUGAAAAAGAUUCAUAAUUGUAAUGUGAUGUUCUUUAGAGUUGAUGUAAGUUGGUAAUGAAAAGGAGUAACUGCGAAAGGUUGGUGUUUAUCAUAGCAAAAGGGAAAAAAAAGAAAGAAAAAAAGAAAGAAACUAACUUUGGUGUUUCAUAUUUUUGUAUCUUUUAAAUGUAUACAGGGAGAUCGUUGUGGUAUAUUCGGAUCAAACUGCCCCCAGUGGCUUACUGCAAUGGAGGUAAAUACUGUGUUUCCUAUUUUCAUGAAUCACGAUUGGCUUCAUAUUUAUGCAUGCCGUGCUUACUUGAAUGGAAAAGUUUGUUUAUGUUGGGAGCAAAUUUUUGACAGGUUGAAUAACUAUAAUGAAUCUAUGUUUUGUUGAUUUUUUACAGGCCUGUAAUAGCCAUACCAUAACGUAUGUUCCGCUGUAUGACACCCUUGGUAUGAUUUCUUUCUCUUUGUCAAUGAUCGUCAGUACUUAUAUCACCAUGAGUUUUAGAGUUUCUAUACAUUUUCUUCCUCAAUAGAAUUUCCAGUAGCAAUUGGACUUCAAUGAUGGUGGUUGAGUUCGAUUCAAUGUAUCUCAUUAACUUUUUGUGGUUUUACAUAUAAUGGUGGUUGAGCUUGCUAAACUCUUUGACGUGUAGGCUUCACUGAAAGCUGUGGUGGAUGUCUUACAUCUAUUGGCAAUGUUUUUCCUAUGAUGGGAACUGUGGGUGUUCCCAUGACAACUAUUGAAACAAGGCUUGAGUCAGUGCCAGAAAUGGGAUAUGAUGCACUUUCCAGUGUGCCAGGUGGAGAGAUUUGCCUGAGAGGAAAAUCCUUGUUUUCUGGUUACCACAAGCGACAAGAUCUGACAGAGGAAGUCCUUGUUGAUGGGGUGGUUUCAUACUGGUAAAAAUUCUUACAAUAGUCAGCCAUAAAGUUGUAUGGAAUACUUUACUUGCUUGAUGCUCAAACUUUUGGCUUUUCAAGAUGUCACCACCGUGCAUGUUAGAAUGUUUUGUUGAUGGUUAAUUGUUGCAUUAAAAGGUGGUAUUUCUUGACUUUGAGUGGAUUGCAGGUGACAUUGGAGAAUUGCAGCCUAUUGGAGCAACGGAAAUCAUAGAUAGGACAAAGAAUAUAUUUAAACUGUCUCAAGGUGAUUAUGUUGCUGUGGAAAACAUUGAAAGCAAAUACCUGCGAUGCCCUCUUAUCACAUCGGUACGUUGCUACUUACUUACUACAUCCAAUACAAGUAGAACAAUUUCCAUACAUUAGGACUCACCUCUGUUUUCCUCCAUUGAUGAGUUUGUAUUUUUUGUCUUUGUACUACAUUUUAAUUUGUGAAAAUUUUGUAUUGUUUGUUCUCUCUUUUUUUAUUUAUUUUUCUUUUCUAAAGUUCUGGAUGUCUUAACUUUCCUCUGGUUGGCAGAUUUGGGUUUAUGGGAACAGCUUUGAGUCGUUUCUUAUUGCUGUGGUGGUCCCUGACAGAAAGGCGUUGGAGGAUUGGGCAGCAGAGCAUAAUUUGACCGAUGAUUUCAAAUCAUUAUGUCAAAACCUGAAGGCAAGAAAGUACAUUUUGGAUGAGCUCAAUGGUGUUGGUCAGAAGCAGCAAGUAUGUAGAUAAUUGUCUCAACUCCCUGUUUGAUGCUUUGUUAAUGUCUACUCAAUCUGACUUGGGUGACCUUCCUCCAGCUUCGAGGUUUUGAGCUGUUAAAAGCAGUUCAUUUGGAACCAAAUCCCUUGACAUGGAGAGGGAUCUCAUAACUCCAACAUUCAAACUGAAGAGACCACAGCUACUUAAAUAUUACAAGGUAGGCCUCCUGCUCUCUCUUUCUAGUAUUUUCUUAAAUCUCCUCACUGUAAAUCUGUGCCUUCCUUUUUCAAGCACCUGGUAAGUCUUCAGUUUGCCACUCACUAAAUACCCUGCCUCCACCCUGAUCAAUAUCCCACGACCAAUGACACCUAAAAGUAUGUACUUUUUAAGAGCCAACCUAGUAACCAAACACAGCCCCAUACGGCUAUACCCUUGAAUUAUUUCUUAAAUAGCAAGAAUUUCUAUUUCUAUCUCUCUCUCUCUCUCUCUCUCUCUCUCUCUCUCUCUCUCUCUCUCUCUCUUAAAUAGUAAAAGCUGAAGUUUGUCAAGUAUGUUAAUUUUAUAUUUGUUGGAAUAUCAUCUGCAGGGCCGCAUUGAUAAACUGUACAGUGAAGCCAAGGAAGCAAGGGUAUGACAGCAAUGUCAAAAGCCGGAAGCUACUGGAUAAGACCUUUUUACCACAAUUCCCCAAAGAUGUGAUUGCUGAGAGAAGGCAGGUGCUAUCCACAAAGACACUGGAUUUGGAUCCCUGUGAGUCCGUCUAAGUUAGUUUGUGUAUAAAUAAAGAUAAUAUGAAAGUUCUGGUUUGAGAAAUAUAUUGCCCCAAUGUCAGUUAUUUGUGCUUGCAAAUACACACAGAAAUGCUAUAUUCAUUCACUCUUUCAGUAUAAAUGUCAGAUACAUGACAAGAAAUGCUUGCUUACCAAACCAUGUGUAUGGAAGUUAAAGACGAUAAAGAAUUAAUGGCUACUUUACUUCUGAUCUCUCAAGUACCAAUUGCAUCUACAUUGCUAUAGCCCCAAAACCAAUGAUAACUGAUUCUCAAUAGAUCUUGGUUUAUGCAAUGUAAAAUAAUCAAUGACAACCAACAAUUAGGAGCCUAUUCCUCUUUUUCUUUCACCCGUUCAUGGACAUAUGAUGUCUUCCUAAGCUUUAGAGAUGAGGAUACCCGUCCAAUUUCGAAGACGAUUUCUAACACAUCACAGAAACACGAACAGAUAAACGUCUAGGUCCAAGAACAUAUUCCGGAAUACAAUUGAAAGAGAAAAUCCAUCAAUCUCAAAGACCAUUUGUGACGCAGUACAACAAUUUGGUUUAGAAUGAAAUUAAAGCAUAGAUAACGAGUUAAUAAAUAAAUUCCUUGGUCAAGCUCCUCUGUUAUUUCACUACAUGAUCCUGUCUUUGUUUGGUCGAAAGGAUUUACUCACAGUUCAUCAGAAAAGAAAAAUUAUUAUAUAGGAUGAACCUGUGUCGUUUUGGACAUUUCCACUACCCAGCUAGUAAACUAUUGCUCCAAUAAUUGAACUGGAAAAGAUGUUUGAAGUUUCAACGGAAUCACACUGGCCUUUCCUUUUUCUUUGUUUCUUUAUUCCCAUCAUUGUCUUCCCUUCUUUAACUUCGCAGUGUUCUCACUAAAGAGGUUUUUUUUAAAAUUUUUUAAUUUUUUUUUUAUCAAAUAGAAACUUCAUUAGAUAAACUUCAACGGAACAAUUAAAGAUAUCAACAAAACAUUUAAAAUACCAAUCCUAAGAGGGCAACAAACUAACUUGCUAAAAGCAAAACUAACGCGGACAAAAACCGCACUAAAACUAUUAGCCCACAUUGCCACAAUUAGUCAUAAGCCCAAACAAAGCCAACAAAGCCAACAUAACCAAAACCCUAAAUCAACCCAUGAGCCUAAACAAACCCUACCACCACCACCUGAAGAAGAGCCGUUGCGGUCACACCCAUCACCGCAUCUGUAACAGAUUUGGGAAAAAUAUGAUUUUCAGUUAUCUGAGCGAACAAAUAAAUAAAAACAAUAACUUUGGCAAAGAACAAUUGAGUGAUUUGCAGCAACCUCCGUCAAAGAUGAUGUAAAAUCAAAUUUAAAGAACAUGAGUGACAUUAGGGAGCUGGUUUUGGGAGUAGGAUUUGAUUGAGAACAUAGACUAAGGAAUGAUGGGAACUUCAAUUUUAACCAUAACUUAGAAAAACCACCUCCCCCUCUGUGGAAUUUUCCUUUAUUCCUCGCAGCUACCCUCGCUCAUAAAAACACACCAAACUAAUCAAUUAUUGCUCCAAUAAUUCGACUGAAAAGACGUUUGAAGUUCCAACGUAAGCACACUGUCCUUUCCUUUUUUCCUUGCAUUCUUUCUUCCUUUCUUCGCAGUGUUCUUCUCACUAAGGAGGUUGAAGUUUCAGCAAACUUUCUCGCAGCUUCCCUCGCUCAUAAGAUGCUUUUCUUAUUAAAAUAAAAGAAACCAAGAGGCCAUUACCUUCCCAGCUCUUUGAUCAGCCUGUUUCGUUCUCAUGUAUGCAAUCAAAUAACCUGCAUUCAAUGACGUACGAUGUGUUUCUGAGUUUCAGAGGCGAGGACACGCGGUUCAACUUUACUGAUCAUCUGCACAGCAAUUUGACUCGGAAGGGAAUUAGAACCUUCAUAGAUGAUGGUCUUAAGAGAGGGGAAGAAAUAUCACCGGCGCUUCUCAGAGCAAUCAAAGAGUCGAAGAGUUCUGUCAUCAUAUUCUCCGAAAACUAUGCGUCUUCAAAAUGGUGUUUGGAUGAACUCGUCAAGAUUCUUGAAAGUAAAGAAUCAAGAGAACAAAUAGUUUGGCCUAUUUUUUACAAGGUGAAUCCGUCGGAUGUACGGAAUCAAAAGGGAAGUUUCGGUCAGGCAUUUGCUGACUAUGAAUGUGAGUUCAAAGAUGACAUGGAGAAGGUGCAAAGAUGGAGGAGAGCUCUUACGAAAGCGGCCAAUCUGUCCGGGUGGUGUUUCUCCAACGGGUAUAUAUUUUCAACCACACACCAUAGCUGCUUGCUGAACUUGUUUAUUCUUUAUCUUUUAAUAGAAAUUGCAACUGUUAGUGUGUAUACUAGAUGCUUAGGAUUGGAUUUGAUUGGAUAAUUCAAAAUCGGGCGUUGGGCCUCAAGAGGAAAACCAUAUUUAGUACCACUAUUUAUUGAGAAAAGGGGUGAGACUUUACAAUAUUUUGACGUGGGACUCCGUACGUAUGAGGUAGCCACACGUGUUCAUGAAUUGUCGAAUCCUUGGAUUAGGGCAAAAAUGUCCUUUUUUGGGCCAUAUAUCCACGCUGGCAUGGUCGCCGGCUGUUUCACUGAACACGGUGCCGAGAGAUGCUGGACUCCUUUGUCCCGUAAUGUAGGGCUAUGGCAUCAACAAAACUUAUCCCUUUCAAAAGGGAUAAAUUCCCUUUAUGACAAAUGGAUCUUCUGUUAUCAACUUGGACAAAAUUUAGAAGUUGACCUUCAUUUCUUACUUCAAUGUUGAAAUAAGCUCUUCAUCUCUUAAAGUAGCUCUCCCCUCCCCUCCUCUCCCCAGCUCCACCGCGCUAGGGUAGGUGGGGGAGGUGGCGGAUGGCUUGGAAGAGUGGGGAAUAGGGGAAGCAGUUGAUGCGUUGAGGGAGGAAGCGCUAAGUAAGUUAAUACGACUGACCACUUGUUUGUACCCACUCUGUUAUGUCAUCUCAUAUAUGCAUACCGUCCAAUUUUUUAGGUUAUCAUUCAAUGAUCACUCUUGAAAAAACAAAUUAGUGAAAUUAGACAACACUUAGUAAUCCAUCUUUAAUCAGACAAAUAGACGAACACAAUAUUUCCUAUAAACAAUGAAAAUGUUAGUAAUAAUAAUUAAAUGGUUAAACAAUUUUCGAUUUGUCUACUUUUUGUUCUUUUCUUUUUUUUGAUAGAGAUGUUCCUUGAAUUACAACCUGAAAAAUAAAUAUUUUGGAUCAUUAUAUGACAUUGUGGAGUGUGUCAAAUGAGUGUUUAGCACCUUAUUAACUUACUUACUGAUUAGUGAUUGAGCACUCAUAUAUAUAUUUAUCUUACAAAAUGCUAUUUCGUCAUUAACUUUCACAUUUGUUAACCUUGCAGGCAUGAAGCAAAAUUUAUCCACAACAUUGUUGAAGAGAUUUCAAUACAAGUAUUAAACCAUAAUUAUUUGAAUGUAGCGAAAUACCCAGUUGGAAUAGAGUCUCGUGUACACGAGAUAAGUAAGCUUUUGGGUGUUGGGGGAAACGAUGUUCGCAUGGUAGGGAUAUGGGGAACUGGUGGAAUAGGUAAGACAACAAUUGCUAAAGCUGUUUAUAAUUCCACUGCCCAUAUGUUUGAAGGUAGCUGUUUUCUAGAAGAUGUUAGAGAAAGAUCAAUGCCAUAUGGAGGCUUAGUCGAACUACAAAAUAUUAUUCUUUCUGAGAUUCUAGGGGUAAAAGAAGUAAAGGUGACCAAUGUUGACAAAGGAGUCAAUGUGAUAAAGAAAAUGUUGAAUGGUAGGAAGCUUCUCUUAGUUCUUGAUGAUGUGAAUCAAUUGGACCAAUUAAACAAAUUAGUUGGAAGAUCUGAUUGGUUUGGUACAGGCAGCAGAAUUGUACUAACGACAAGAGAUAAGCAUUUGCUAAUUGCACAUCAAGUCAAUCUAAUGUAUGAGGUUGAGAAGUUAGACCAUUAUGAAUCUUUGAAGCUUUUCACCAGCUGGAAUUCAUUUUCAAGAAAUGGACACUUAGAUGGUGAUUAUGUGAAACUUGCAAACCAGGUAGUAGACUAUGCUCAAGGUCUUCCAUUAGCUCUUAUGGUUUUAGGUUCACAUCUAUGUGGUAGAAGUAUUGAUCAAUGGAAAUGUGCAUUAGAUGGUUACAGAAGAGUGCCUAACCAGGAGAUUCAAGACAUUCUCAAAAUAAGUUAUAGUGCACUAGACGAUGCGGUGAAGGAAGUUUUCCUUGACAUUGCAUGUUUCUUUAAAGGUGUAGGCAAGGACUAUGUGAUUGAAAUACUAGAAGGUUGUGACCUAAACCCUAAGUAUGAUCUUGAAGUACUCGUGGAAAAGGCUCUUAUAAAUAUUACGGAAGAAGGCAGGAUUUGGAUGCAUGACUUGAUAGAAGAAAUGGGUAAAGAAGUAGUUCGCCAAGAGUCGCCAACUGAGCCUGGAAAGCGUAGUAGGUUGUGGUUUCACGAGGAUGUUGACCAUGUUUUAACUGAAAAUACAGUAAGUAGAAUAUAAUUUGAAACACUUGUAUAAUUAUUUCACAAAAAAUUAUCCUUUUCUAAUACUAUUGCUUUUUCAUACUAGGGAACAGAUAAGAUCAAAGGUAUCAUGGUGAAGUUGCCUGCUGGCCUUGAGUCAGAUGAGAUAUGCUUGAAUGCUAAAAGCUUCUCAAAGAUGAAAAAUCUUCGAAUUCUUUUAAAUCGUAAUGCACGCUUAUCUGGAGAAGUUGAUUAUCUUCCCAAUGAGUUGCGGCUCCUCAGGUGGCCUGAAUAUCCAUUACAAUCUUUGCCAGCAAAUUUUAAUCCAAAGAAACUUGUUGGUCUUACUAUGCCUCGUAGCCGCAUUUUACAACUGGAUUUGGAAUUGAAGGUAUUUAAAAUUACAGCUUUUUUCAAGAGUUUAUUUUUAUUUUUCAGCAUAUUGGGAGUUUAUUAAGAGCUUAUGAUGCGAUCCUCUCUCUCUUUUUCUCUCUGUUUUGUGGGGCAGAGUUUGAAAUUUAUAAAUGUGGAGAACAGCAAAUUCCUGACAAAAACGCCUAACUUCUCUGGAGUCCCAAAUUUAGAGAAGUUGAAUCUAAACUAUUGUACAAGUUUAGUUGAGCUUCAUCCUUCUGUUGGAUUCCUUCAUAAGCUUGUUAAGUUGAGUCUUACCGGAUGCCGUAGUCUUACUCUGUUUCCAAGAAUUGUCAACUUGAAAUCUCUGCUGAAGUUGAAUCUUGAAGGCUGCAUAAGUCUUGAGAAUUUCCCUGAAAUUAUGGGAAAGAUGGAAUCUUUGACAUACCUGGAUCUAUCGAAGACUUCCAUCAAAGAAUUGCCUUCAUCAUCAAUUCGACAUUUUACUAGUCUCAAGACGUUGUAUCUAACCGGAUGUGAAAAGCUUACAAAUCUUCCAUGCAGCAUUUAUGAAUUGCAGCAUCUAGUGGAAAUUUCUUUGAGUAAAUGCUCAAAAUUGGUUACAUUUCCUAAAAUGGUGAAGUCUGAAGAUUCAAGGACUGCAGAAUCACUUGUGACUCUUCACAGAGGCAAUUUAGUGUUUCCCAAGCUAUCUAAAUUCAAUGUGGGGGGAUCUAAUCUUUCAGAAAUUACCAAUUUUCUUUUGACUCUUGAUUGCUUGGCCACAUUAACAAGACUUGAUCUAUCAGGGAGCAAUUUCAUUAGUCUUCCCGCAUGCAUUAUUAACUUUGUCAACUUGCAUGAACUUCGGUUGGUUGGUUGCAAGAGACUUAGAGAAAUUCCGGAUCUUCCACAAGAAAUGGAAGUUUUAGAUGUGAGUGAUUGUGUAUCAUUGGAAAGAGUUUCAAAUUUGUCCAACAUUUUGGAACGUAAAGAGUCUCAAAUGAUCUCUGAAAUGAACUUGACUAAAUGUUGGAGACUGCGUAACAAUCUGGUUCGCUUUGCAAAGAAGAAAAAUAUGUUCAUAAAUCAGGUCAAUCUCUUCUCUCUCUUUCUCUCGUCUCAGCAAUCUUAUGUCGAGGUUGUAUUUCCAGGAAGUGGAAUUCCAAAGUGGUUCAGUUGUUGUCAGGAUUUGAAGGAUCUUCGCGAAUGUGCAUUCUCCAUUAAAAUCCCUCAAAACUUCAAAUUUGAGAACAAAGGAUUGGCUGUCUGUGCUUUUCUUCAAAAAACCAAAAAUAGGUUCCAUUUUGAUACUAAGCCCAAACUUAACAUCAGGGAUUUUUCUGUUGAUAUUUACUUAGAUGAACGACGCACUGAUAAUACACAUUCUACAGGGAAAGAGUCAACUGUAGUAUGGCUGUGGUAUAUUCCAUUCUUUGUAAUAUUGUCGGUCAGGGAAUCCUUGUGGGAGUACGAAUGCAUGAAAGGAAGAGCGAAAAGCUCAUGGGUGAUGCCACCUUAUUUGCCUACACUUCGAGUUCAUUUUGUACGCAUUAGCAAAGCUGUGAAAAGCUGCGGAGUCCACCUAGUAAUGCCACCAGGAUGAAGACGUCAGUAUGGAGGCAUGGGUGCGUCCUUGAAGAUACCAGCAUACCAACUGAUCAAUCCUCCAAAGCGUAAGACCAGUAGCCUUGAAAUGUGAUUGGGAUGCUAAGGAUUUGCAUCCUUCUUACAAGAUGACAUUCUCAAGCCUGCGGGUAGAAUUCAAUGAUUAUUAUUUGUUAUUGUUUUUGUGUUAAUUCAACAUGAGGAUUUUGGUUUCCUUUCAAUCAAGUUUUGAAUGGUGGACAUUGUAGAAUGUAUUGUUGGAAUGGUGCAGUUUUGCUCUUAUUAAAGAUGAGAUAAGAGGGAGAAGACUGGUCUGCACCUUAUUGUUUCAGAGUAGAUGGUGCCCGCUAGGGAAUAAAGUUAUACCUCCCGAGAAAUAUUCUUUAAAGCUUCAAGCCUUAACCUGUUACUCUCCCAGCAAUUGUGGCAUGGAAAUCUCUCCCUGAGUCUGUGAUCACUUAGAGUUCUGGUGCCUGCUAUUCCUGAUGGCUAGCAUGGUCUUACUUUCCCUUUCAUGCCACUGCUCUGCUGGUUUCCUGGAUGUCUUUUCUUUCCUGCUGCUUGGUUUGUGGAUGAUUUGUUACUGUUGCCUUCGGUUCGGGGUUGCUAUUAUUGCAGUCCCUAUUGGUUGCUCUCUCCUUGCUGCGCCACUGUUUUUGGCUGGUUGCUUUUCACAGUUCCUCGCUUUUGACCUGCUUUGCUGGUUAGUGCUGCCUUGCUGCUUUGUUAAGGUGUGUUGCUGGCUGUAGACUUUGCUCUUCCUGCGGCUGCAUUUUGUUCUUGAUAGCAGAACAGGUUGCUGUUUGGCUCUGCCUUGUUUUCUCCUUGGUGUUGCUGCAUUAGUUCUCCGGUCAUUGUUGGUUAGUGCUUUGCGUGCUGCCUAAUGUUGGGGAGAAGAUUUUCUAGUCAGUAGUUUAUAAACUUUUCCUUAAAAAAAGAACUUUCCAUCAGCUUCUUAAGCUCUUUGACAUGUAGGCCUCACUGAAAGCUGUGGUGGAUGUCUUACGUCUAUUGGCAAUGUUUUUCCUAUGAUGGGAACUGGGGGUGUCCCCAUGACAACUAUUGAAACAAGGCUUGAGUCAGUGCCAGAAAUGGGAUACGAUGCACUUUCCAGAGUGCCACGUGGAGAGAUUUGCCUGAGAGGAAAAUCCUUGUUUUCUGGUUACCACAAGCGACAAGAUCUGACAGAGGAAGUCCUUAUUGAUGGGUGGUUUCAUACUGGUAAAAAUUCUUACAAUAGUUAGCCGUACAGUUGAAUGAAAUAAUUUACUUACAAUAGUUAGCCAUACAGAGGAAGUCCUUAUUUUGGCUUGUCAAGAUGUCACCACUGUGCAUGUUAGAAUGUUUCGUUGAUGGUUAAUUGUUGCAUUAAAAGAUGGUAUUUCUUGACUUUGAGUGGAUUGCAGGUGACAUUGGAGAAUUGCAGCCUAAUGGAGCAAUGACAAUUAUAGAUAGGAAAAAGAAUAUAUUUAAACUGUCUCAAGGUGAAUAUGUUGCUGUGGAAAACAUUGAAAGCAAAUACCUGCAAUGCCCUCUUAUCACAUCGGUACGUUGCUUGUUACUACAUCCAAUACAAGUAGAACUAUUUCCAUACAUUAGGACUCGCCUCUGUUUUCCUCCAUUGACGAGUUUGUAUUUUUGGUUUAAUUUGUGAAAAUUUCCUUUUGGUUGUUUUCCUGUUUUCUAAAGUUGUGGAUAUCUGAACUUUCCUCUGGUUUGCAGAUUUGGGUUUAUGGGAACAGCUUUGAGUCGUUUCUUGUUGCUGUGGUAGUCCCUGACAGAAAGGCAUUGGAGGAUUGGGCAGCAAAGCAUCAUUUGACCGAUGAUUUUAAAUCAUUAUGUCAAAACCUGAAGGCAAGAAAGUACAUUUUGGAUGAGCUCAG
rnacentral:lncRNA from 1 species